rnacentral:rRNA from 1 species
UUCAGUCAGAAGAGGUAGUUAGUUAUAGCUGCAUCAUGACGUACGACAGAGAGGCACGCUACUCGUGCAGCAGCGCGUUAUACGAGGUGCGAGGCGUAUCGAUACUGGCGUAAAGCGCAUGCAGUGUUGUAAGUCAGAUGUGAAAGCCGGGGCUCAACUCGGAAUUGCAUUUGAAACUGCAGACUAGAGUACUGUAGAGGGGGGUAGAAUUUCAGGUGUAGCGGUGAAAUGCGUAGAGAUCUGAAGGAAUACCGGUGGCGAAGGCGGCCCCCUGGACAGAUACUGACACUCAGAUGCGAAAGCGUGGGGAGCAAACAGGAUUAGAUACCUGGUAGUUCACGCCGUAAACGAUGUCUACUUGGAGGUUGUGGCCUUGAGCCGUGGCUUUCGGAGCUAACGCGUUAAGUAGACCGCCUGGGGAGUACGGUCGCAAGAUUAAAACUCAAAUGAAUUGACGGGGGCCCGCACAAGCGGUGGAGCAUGUGGUUUAAUUUGAUGCAACGCGAAGAACCUUACCUACUCUUGACAUCCAGAGAACUUUCCAGAGAUGGAUUGGUGCCUUUGGGAACUUUGAGACAGGUGGUGCAUGGCUGUUGUCAGCUUGUGUUGUGAAAUGUUGGGUUAAGUCCCGCAACGAGCGCAACCCUUAUCCUUGUUUGCCAGCGAGUAAUGUCGGGAACUCCAGGGAGACUGCCGGUGAUAAACCGGAGGAAGGUGGGGACGACGUCAAGUCAUCAUGGCCCUUACGAGUAGGGCUACACACGUGCUACAAUGGCGCAUACAGAGGGCAGCCAACUUGCGAAAGUGAGCGAAUCCCAAAAAGUGCGUCGUAGUCCGGAUUGGAGUCUGCAACUCGACUCCAUGAAGUCGGAAUCGCUAGUAAUCGUGGAUCAGAAUGCCACGGU